rnacentral:lncRNA from 1 species
AGCUUUCAAGAAACACGAUGAUGAAACAAAGCUUUGCAAAGAAGACUUCUUCUCUCUCUCAAUCUCCAAAGAACUCAGAAGGGGCCCUUCUUCAUUCAUUGGCCUUCCCUCCACAUGGUGGGACUCAUGUUAACUAUUACAACACAUUCAUCACUUAAACCGAAUUACAAAAAUGAGAGAGAGUGAGAGAGAGAAGGAGUGGGAAAAAGUCCUUGGCCGUGGUCGGAAAAGAAGUCUGCUCCGUUCCAACCUCGAGCGGCGGCUCCGUCGUCCAACACACCCGCCCCAUCGACACCCGCAACACCCGCCCUCACGGCACAUACAAAACCAGCCCUCACGGCAUUACCACAACCCCCCUUCCCGAUUGGAGUAUUAUCGGAACCGGGAGAGCUAUUCUCCUCGGCGUAGUAAGUUCAGGUCAAGACGACCCCCCUCCCCUACCCACCGGAGACAGUUGGGAACCAUUCCGGGAGCUCCGUUGAGAGUUAUAAGAGUUUUUGGAGGUUUCUUGGAAAAAAUGGUGCUGUUUGAGACAUUGCUCUUCCGUUACGACGAGAUGUAAGAGGGAGACGAUUCGGUUUUGUGCGUUUUAAGCCCUCGGAAGACAGUGCAAGGUUGGAUGUGGCGGUCAAAAACCUCGUAAUCGGAAAGAGGAAACUCAUAAUAAAC